rnacentral:rRNA from 1 species
GAUGAACGCUAGCUACAGGCUUAACACAUGCAAGUCGAGGGGCAGCAUGAACUUAGCUUGCUAAGUUUGAUGGCGACCGGCGCACGGGUGAGUAACACGUAUCCAACCUGCCGAUGACUCGGGGAUAGCCUUUCGAAAGAAAGAUUAAUACCCGAUGGCAUAAUUCUUCCGCAUGGUAGGACUAUUAAAGAAUUUCGGUCAUCGAUGGGGAUGCGUUCCAUUAGGUUGUUGGCGGGGUAACGGCCCACCAAGCCUUCGAUGGAUAGGGGUUCUGAGAGGAAGGUCCCCCCACAUUGGAACUGAGACACGGUCCAAACUCCUACGGGAGGCAGCAGUGAGGAAUAUUGGUCAAUGGACGAGAGUCUGAACCAGCCAAGUAGCGUGAAGGAUGAAGGUCCUACGGAUUGUAAACUUCUUUUAUAAGGGAAUAAAACCUCCCACGUGUGGGAUUUUGUAUGUACCGUAUGAAUAAGCAUCGGCUAACUCCGUGCCAGCAGCCGCGGU